CUAAACUUUUAUUCCUUUUAAUAUUAAUUUUGUAUUUUUCUUUUUUCUUUUUAGUGCUUUCUGAGGUCAGAAACAACAUUCAAGAUUUAUUCAUUAAUAUUAGAAAAUGUCUGUUGGUUUCAGAUUUUUUUCUUAUUUUUUAUUUGGAAAUAAACAAUGAUAGAUGACGACUACAAUAAUUAGUGAUGUGAUAUAGGCUCCACUUUUAUACUUUUUCUAUUUUUUUAUUUAAAAAGGAGACAAUGUGAUGAGGUAUUUUUGAGGCCUCUCGGGCCGAAUACGGACCUUUGGUGUUUGGAUGAACCGUAUUCAAUGUGUCAGGGUCGAAUUACCAUAUACAGCGUGUGGGAUUGUGGGAUAGAAUUCUCACUUAAAUCUCCCACGACUGGUAUAGGUAGAGUCUAAGUCACCCAAUCUUCUCAAUAAGUGUGCUCUCAUAUUUCAAAUGCGUUUAAAUUUUAAUUAUGUCAUUCUUACGAUUUCGCUCUCAAAUUCGCUCCGCUCCCGCUUCCAUUUUAUGUGACUUAGGAAGACUUUUAAAAUAUAUAUAUUUUUGUGGGAUAAUUGUGUCAUUUUAUUUUCUAAAAGAAAUCCAUAUAUUAUUUUUACAGAUUAAUAUUAGUAGUAUUUUAAAGGAGUUGUUUUUUUUGGUAUAAUGGUGAAUAUUCAAUUCUUAAUAUGAGUGCAAAUUACAAUAACUUUACGUUACAAUAAUUUUAAAAGUUUUUCCAACACAAUCUUGUGUGCGGAUACAAAAUACCUAAGAUGUGGACAUCUCCAAUCUUGUCUUCCCAACACAAUCUUGUGUGUGGAUACAAAAUACCUAAGAUGUGGACAUCAUUUUAUUUCAAGUUGAAUUUAAUUUGUACCGAAUUUGAUUUCAAUGAUUUCAAGUGUUCAACCAUGUGACUAGAAUAACAAAAUACCAAUUAAGUGAACUGAUAAGAUAAUUCAAAUCCUUAUAAAGGAAAUGGGACAGUUAGUUUUCUCACAAUUUGGCACGGUCAAAGAAUCGAAAAUUUAAGAACUUUACAAAAAUCUGGUUGGUUUACAGAGUAGAACUGUAUUUUUUUUCAGAACUCAGUUGAAAAAAGCGCCAGAGAAUUUCCUUGGUUUGGUAUUCUCAUAAUAUUUUUCUAUUUUUUAAAAAUAAAAAAUUAAAAAACUGUACGAAAAUCUGUUUGAAAGUACAAAGAAUUUCUCCCAAUUGCAGAGAGAGAAAUUUUACACUCCCAAUGAUUUCUAACCACUUUUCCCUCUCAAUUUCCCUUAUUUAUAGACGGUUAUAAUCUCCUCUGGCCUGGGCCUUAUUUGUUCUCUUUUGCCUAGACUCAACUUCUCUCAUUUUAAUAUGGGCUUCUGCAAUGACUUCAUGGAUCUGGGCCCAUCCAGCGUGAACUUGCUCCAUCCUGGCUAUCCAUACCCGACCCGUCCUUUGCAAUACGGAUCAUACCAAGCCCGGGUCAUUUUGGUGUCCUCAUCUACCCCCAAUAAUCUCUCCCCUCAUUAAUGAGGGUGAGAUUAUUGAAAAGACACGAUCUUGGUCUGACUGCUCGGAGCGAUGACACGAGGAAUCGAACGGCUGGCACAAAAACCCAAACUUCGAGAUCUGCAGGCCACUUUUUACCUUGACCUUUUGAGUUCCAUGUCGUCUUUACUUUUUCUUCUUAUAAAUUCCGGUCUUUCAACCUUCAUCUUUCUUUUUAUAUCUUGCUUCUACUCUCCACUGCCUUCCUGCACAUUCCGGCGAUUCUUCUUCAAUUUCUUCGGCGAGUUUUUCCUUUUCAAUUUUUGGCUACUAUGCUGUUGCUGUGUUCAUCACAAACUUGCAAGGUCAGUUUUUUUUUUUUUUUUUACCUCUCUUUGAAAAAGACACCUUUAUUGCCUAGGACUCCUCCCCUUUUCUAUGGCUCCCCCUAAUCUGAACGCCAUUCGAUCCAAGAAUUGCAUUCCCCGUGAUGUUUCUCUCAGAGUCUAUCCAAUAAACUUAGUGGGAGAUCUGGUGAGGGUCUCCUUCUUGGGGAAGUUUUAUUCUCCGCCGUUCAUUUGAACGUCAUUAGGUUCCCCCUACACCUAUUCUUUUGUUAUGCUUUCAACAAAUUGGGGCUCUGCCCUCUACUGGUUAACCUUAACUUCCUUAAGGUAAUUUCAGUCCUUCUGCUCUUGAAUCGUGACAGGGGUCUCAAUCUUGACAUUAUCGACCUUCUCCUCUGCUACCGGAUUAAUAAAAUUUCACAAAAUGAUUUGUACUAUCACUUCUUCCCUAUUGACAAACGGUCGAUCUGCACUGCUAAGAACUCAUUUGAAUAAGGUUGGAGACAAAACUUAAUUGUGGUUAGUGGGAAUUGGCGGACUCCGCUCGGCCAAUCUUUCUCUAUCUCUUCUUCCUUUGGAACAUGCUCUGUCUCUGGCUAUAAAAAACUGAAAACACAUCCUACUCAAUGCCACUGUAAAAGUUGCUUUCCCCGUUUUUGCACUUUUCUUUGUAAAUGCCUUCAAAUUCCCCAUGAUGAACUGGUUUAUAGCGUCUGCAGGGCUAGGCUAGACAUCUUGCAAGAGAGUGUGCUGAACAAUGUCCCUUCAGCUACUGAUUUGCUUACAUCUGACAAUCUCUCUGAUAUUUCUCUUUUAGGGUCCACAAUGGAGAGCAUUCAGAUCCCAUCUUUCAGCAAGAGGAGGCGUUCUGCUCCCACCCCUUCUAACGCUCCUACUACCACAUCAUCAUCUACACCUGCUACCACAUCGUCCACCCUUGCUGUCUCUGCCCCAGAGCAAGUUGUGAUUGCUCCAACUGUGACUCAAGUCACAAACCGUUCUCCUGUUGAGCCUUCUAAGCUCACUCAUGCUGAGAACCCUAUUGUGGAUCAUACUGCUGAGAUCCGUCCUGCUGCUCCCAUCAUUAUGCCUUCCAACAUCUCGUCUGAUACUUCCUCAGAGAGCACUCAGGAUGCUGGAAAUUCUCAGGACAAUAGAGGACCAGCUAAUGCUGGGCUGGUCUGUCAGAAAAAAGUUUAGGAAAAAGGCCAAUGCCUGAGGGCGGUCAUGACCUGAGUGAUAUCCCACCAGCCCGGAGGACUAGGAUGGCUUCCUUCAGGGUUACUGAACCAUUGCCCCCUGCCCGGUUCUUCAUUCCAGAAGGCGAAUCAGCCAGAACCUCUAAUCCGACUCCAUCCGUUCUUCCAUGGUGACCUUUGCUCAGCCGUGAAGAUGGCUCGACCAUUGGCCCCACCGGCUCUAUGUGUAAGGACCCCCUCACCUCCUUUGCUUUCUACAAGGGUUUCUGGACCCCCAAGGACCUUGAGAUUCAGAACAAGCUAUCCUUUGGCGAGAUGUUCUAGUGGUUCCCAGCUGCUGCUAUGGAGACUCUAUUUGGGAUGUUCACCUUCCAAAAAACCAUUGAGACUCUGAACAAAAAACUUAAAUCCCUCUCUGUGGGCCUUAAAAGGUCUGUUCAAGCAGAGAAUCGCCUUGAGGCCAAGGUUGCUGAGCUUGAGUCUAAGCUGAGUCAGAGAAGGGGGUUGCUGACUUAAAGGCAGAGAAGGAUGGUCUGGCAAAUGAGAGGGACUCCCUCAGAGCUGAACGGGAUACCCUGAAGGCCGAACGGGAUUCUCUUCAGGAUGAGGUUGAUGUCUUGAAGACUGAGAAGAGCGUUGCUCUGACAGAAAGGGACUCUCUCAAAGCUGAAAAGGGAGACCUUCAGCGCUUACUCAUUGCUGAUCGGUUGUCUCAUGCCAACUCACAAGAGAAGCUCUUAAGCGAACGCUCUUCCUUGCUGAACAUGAUUGGCAAAGUUGAAGGGGGUAUGAAAGCUCUCCUUGCUCGCUUCACCAGAACCAGUGUCAUCCGGUAUGCUGAAAGGUACAGAGAUGGUUUUAUUGACCGUUCUCCCCCUGAAGGCGAAUCAAGCUCUUGUGAUGGUCCGGAUGAAUUAGAUGCUUCUCUAGAUAUCCACCCCCCAAACAAUUAUCAAAACCCACCCUGCGACCCUGUUGAGAAUAUCUUCAUCGAGUGCAUAGAGGUUGCAUCCUCAGGAAUUGUUCCACCCUUUCAUCCCCUGAAUAUUCCUCUCUUUUCUACUAUUGUGCCCUCUUCCUCAGUUGUUACUGACAGACUUAUGCCUGCUGAGGGGGUGAUUCAUCUUGACUCCCCCCCUAAGGAUGAUAGGGCAGCUGAGAAUGGAGAAGACCUCAAUGGUCCAGAGGAUAAUGGUGGGGAGAACGACAGGUCACAGCCUGGAGAUCAUGAGAACUGACAUCCUAUAGCAGUUUUUUUUUAUUUAUUUUUUAUUUUUUUAUUUUUUUUUAUAUAUCUUCAUGUAUCCUCAGAUCAUCAAGCUAUGUACCUCAGGACCUUUUUGUAAUGAAUGACAAUGCUUUUGUUCAGCAUGACUUCCAUUCUUCAAGUUUUCCAUUUUCAACUUUGCUGUGUAUUUUCACAA